rnacentral:rRNA from 1 species
CCCCACUUCCCAGCAGCCGCGGUAAUACCAGCUACAACAGUGUAUAUAAAAGUUGUCGCAGUUAAAAAGCUCGUAGUAGGAUUUCUGUUAAUAAUUUAAUAUAAAAUAUUUUGAUGAAUAUUUUAUAUAAUAUUAACAUAACUCAUAUUACUAUAUUUUUUAGUAUAUGAAAUUUUACUUUGAGAAAAUUAGAGUGCUUAAAGCAGGCAUAUGCCUUGAAUACUCCAGCAUGGAAUAAUAUUAAAGAUUUUUAUCUUUUUUAUUGGUUCUAAGAUAAGAAUAAUGAUUAAUAGGGACAGUUGGGGGCAUUUGUAUUUAACAGUCAGAGGUGAAAUUCUUAGAUUUGUUAAAGACAAACUAAUGCGAAAGCAUUUGCCAAGGAUGUUUUCAUUAAUCAAGAACGAAAGUUAGGGGAUCGAAGACGAUCAGAGGCCGUCGUGUCUUAACCAAAAACUAUGCCUUCCUUGAGCAGGAGUGUU